GACCAUCAUGACAUAAAAUGCAAGAGAAGACAGAACCAGAAAAAAUCGAUGAUGACAAGGCUUAAUCCCGACGAUCGGAUCUGGAAUCGACAAGCAGAUCUUUGUGAGGGAUUUUUGUGCAGAACAUUGCUUCGUGAUAUUGAUGUUCCGAUCAGGUUCUUGCACAAGCGGGUGAUGGCAGCAAGUGGGACGAUGUUGAGUGAUGAUAAGUUUGUAGUGUUUAUCACCGGGUCACUCUAACCUAACGAAAACCACGAGCAACACUAUCAUAAAUUCGGAAGCUUGUAGUGGAUUUUGAUAAGUUUGUUGUUGAUGCAUAAGUGUUUUUCUACGAUAAGUUUUUAGUGGAUUAACCAUAUAUUACGUUAAUUUUGUAGUGGAUUACUUUAACCUAUAAAGUGGAUUUUGAUAACU